GCGGGAUUAGUUCAGUGGUAGAACACGACCUUCCCAAGGUUGAGAUGCGAGCCUGCCCCGCA
rnacentral:tRNA from 1 species